GACGAACGCUGGCGGCGUGCUUAACACAUGCAAGUCGAACGGAAAGGCCCUGCUUGCAGGGUGCUCGAGUGGCGAACGGGUGAGUAACACGUGGGUGAUCUGCCCUGCACUUCGGGAUAAGCUUGGGAAACUGGGUCUAAUACCGGAUAGGACCGCACUUUAGUGUGUGUGGUGGAAAGUUUUUUCGGUGUAGGAUGAGCUCGCGGCCUAUCAGCUUGUUGGUGGGGUAAUGGCCUACCAAGGCGGCGACGGGUAGCCGGCCUGAGAGGGUGUACGGCCACAUUGGGACUGAGAUACGGCCCAGACUCCUACGGGAGGCAGCAGUGGGGAAUAUUGCACAAUGGGCGCAAGCCUGAUGCAGCGACGCCGCGUGGGGGAUGAAGGCCUUCGGGUUGUAAACUCCUUUCGCUAGGGACGAAGCUUUUUGUGACGGUACCUAGAUAAGAAGCACCGGCUAACUACGUG
rnacentral:rRNA from 1 species